ensembl:lncRNA
AUGGUUCAGAGCCUUCUGAAUGACUGUCUUGUUUGGGAAGGAAGAAGAAAUGGAAGAGAUGCUUUGGAAGUAAUGCAGCUGACAAGACAGACUACAGUAAAAAUCCUCAGCGUUGAUCAAGAAAGUCUACAGCUCAACCCAUUAAGAGUGAAAAUCAUCCUGAAAGAAAGUUUGCAGGUAAUGCUCACCCUCGGACAAGGUGAGCCUGGACCCAAAAUUCAAUGAACUCAAUCUGAAUUGCAAUAUCAUUGGCGUUGGACGAUUCACUGCCAUCAAUAAUUAAAGAUUGUAUAUUAUUUUUUUCCUGUCUGCUCUUUUCCAAUCUACAGAAAUACGCCAAAUUUCUCUUGCCGCCUUCUGUCCAUUUCACCCUUCUUUCUUGUAACUCAUCCCUCUCACAGCUGACUGAAUGGCUCAUUAUGCAGCUCAUUAUGCAGGCCUUUGUCUUCUCAGGUGUGAAUUCAUGAUAGUUGACGCCUACUCGCAUAUGACUUUUACCAACAAAAAGUGUCUUAGAAAAUUUAAAUCAAUAUAUUGUUUUCUGUAAGUGAGUAAACAAGAUGAUUUUCACAUCAUUUAGAAAAAAAAAUCUAGGCUACAAGCUCCAGUUCUCAAAAGUCCCGGGAACCAAUUUUCUGUAUGUGUUUUAUUGCUUUAUUCAAGUGAUUUAACAUUUUUAGUUUUUCACUAACCACGCAUAACAUUUUUUAUUAUUCCUCUCAUCGCGAAGCAAACAGUAAAAUAAAAUAAACUUGAAGAACA